AAGAUAUUAGAAAAAUUAUUUCAUAGCUUUGUCGAAGCUAAAUUAUAGGAUAUGCCCUAUAUAUCUUA
rnacentral:tRNA from 1 species